UGGGGGAUAUUGCACAAUGGGCGAAAGCCUGAUGCAGCGACGCCGCGUGGGGGAUGAAGGCUUUCGGGUUGUAAACCUCUUUCGCUAUCGAACAAGGCCCGCUUAGGGUGGGUUGAGGGUAGGUGGAGAAGAAGCGCCGGCUAACUACGUGCCAGCAGCCGCGGUAAUACGUAGGGCGCGAGCGUUGUCCGGAAUCAUUGGGCGUAAAGGGCUUGUAGGCGGCUUGUUGCGCCUGCUGUGAAAACGCGGGGCUUAACUUCGCGCGUGCAGUGGGUACGGGCAGGCUUGAGUGUGGUAGGGGUGACUGGAAUUCCAGGUGUAGCGGUGGAAUGCGCAGAUAUCUGGAGGAACACCGAUGGCGAAGGCAGGUCACUGGGCCAUUACUGACGCUGAGGAGCGAAAGCAUGGGUAGCGAACAGG
rnacentral:rRNA from 1 species